GUCCUUUUGAUAAUAAUUUAAGGUCUAGUCUGCCCACUGAUUAAUUGAAUGGCCGCGGUAUUAUGACCGUGCAAAGGUAGCAUAAUCAUUAGUUUUUUAAUUGAAAACUGGAAUGAAUGGCUGAAUAAGAAAAUAGCUGUCUCAAACUAAUUUAAUUAGAACUUUAUUUUUAAGUUAAAAAGCUUAAAUUUAAUUUAAAGACGAGAAGACCCUAUAGAGUUUAAUAUUAUUGUUUUUUUAAUUUUUGUAGAUUUAAAUUUAUUAAGAAUUAAAUAGUGUUUAAUUGGGGUGAUUAAAAAAUUUAAAUAACUUUUUUUUAUUAAUACAUUGAUUUAUGAAUAUAUGAUCCAUUAAUUGUGAUUAAAAGAUAAAAUUACCUUAGGGAUAACAGCGUAAUUUUUUUUAAGAGUUCUUAUCGAAAAAAGAGAUUGCGACCUCGAUGUUGGAUUAAAAUUAAUAUUUGGCGUAGAAGUUAAAUUAUUAGGUCUGUUCGACCUUUAAAAUUUUACA
rnacentral:rRNA from 1 species